rnacentral:lncRNA from 10 species
AGUUGAGAAGCAAUGCUGUUUCACCUCCCUGAGAGAAUUGCCUUGUUUGUGAAAUACUACAGAAAAACCUGUAUUUUCUCCAGAAAAUGAAAGGUCUUGGCCUGAGUAAAUCAAGGCAGAAAACUCACCCCCGUGAAAGCUGCAGCUCUGAGAGUGUGUGGGCAGGGUGAGUGUCACAGGUUCAGGUUGUCUGGACUGCCCUUGGGACCCCAGCUCCUCCUUUCCAUCAUGUUGCGGUCCAGAGUUCAGUUCAUACCAUCCCAGAUGAUUUGGGGGUUUGCUUCCUCACUUCAGGCACUCUUUAAAUAAGAGGCCUUGUCAGUGGCUCUUCCAUCUGGCAGAAAGUGGGUGCUCAAUAAAUAUUUGUUGAAUGAGCCUGAUCAUUCUGAUGAAAAGAGACCCCUUUGUUCUUUUGGGCCAUUGGGUUUACCAUUUACUAAACGGCCUGUGGCUUCCUGGUCUGACAAAUUUAUAGCACCUGUUUAUGUCUUUCUCACCCACAGGCUUCAACAGAAUACCUGUGGCUGCACUUACAAAAGGCAGCCAGAAGGACCCGUCCAUUCUGGAAAGUACCUUUAGUCUGAAAGCAUUUAUUGCAGAAAAAAUAUGAGGCUUGCUGGUAGUAUUCCCAGGUGACAAAUGUGCACCCAACACCCUACAGAAAAGAAGAACCAUAAAAUAAUUAAUUAUUCCAUUGUAACUCCUGCCUGGAAAACAUCUGAAAGAAGUCACUAGAUUCAGCCCACAUUCAAGAUGAGAAAUACCAGAAGGCAGAGAACACUGAGGCUGUUUUAGAGGCUGUCAACCCCAGGGAGACAGACAGCAAAUAAGUAAGCAAAUAAAUAAAAAUGGAAGGUGAUAAUAAGUGCAAUGAAAAGAAAUGAAGCAGAGUAAAGAAUCAAGAGUAGCAGUUGAGGGGAUGCUUGGAUGUUUUCACACCACUCUGACACAUGGAUGGAAGGUUAGAAGACAACAAAGGAAUGGGCUGGGAAGGACUCCAAAAGCAGAAUCAGAGAUUAUAUCAUUCCUUGGAAAUGGAGAAAAGGAUCAAAAAAGCUGAAUAAAAGGCAAACAUGGAGGAACAGAGUUUGGAGCAAUACCCUGACUUACAUUCAGUACUGUUAAUGGCUCCAGCAUCUUGAAACAAACCAAUUUUGGAUUUUCAGGUCAUCUCAAUACUGUCUUAACACAUCUGAUCUGAGGUGUAGACCAUUCAAAAGGCAAAGUGAGCAGUCUAUUCUCACUCCUGGAUUCUUCAUUAAAAUAUUAUAUUCCCAGCAUUUCUGUGUCAAAAGG